rnacentral:pre_miRNA from 1 species
AGAGGGAUGGCUGGGUCAAAUGGUGGUUUCAUUCCCAAUUUUCCAAGAAAUCUCCAUACUGCUUUCCAUAUUGGCUAUACCAGUUUGCGGUCCCACCAGCAAU